CCUACGGGUGGCAGCAGUGAGGAAUAUUGGUCAAUGGUCGGGAGCCUGAACCAGCCAAGCCGCGUGUGGGAUGAAGGUACAGAGUAUCGUAAACCUCUUUUGUCAGGGGACAAAGGCGGGGACGCGUCCCCGGCUGCGUGUACCUUACGAACAAGCAUCGGCUAACUCCGUGCCAGCAGCCGCGGUAAACCGGAGGAUGCGGGCGUUGUCCGGAUUUAUUGGGUUAAGGGGGUGCGCCGGCGGUCUGUUAAGUCAGCGGUCAAAGCCCGGGGCUCAACCCCGGCCCGCCGUUGAAACUGGCAGUAUCGAGUUGGAGAGAAGUAGGCGGAAUGCGCGGUGUAGCGGUGAAAUGCAUAGAUAUCGCGCAGAACUCCGAUUGCGAAGGCAGCAUGCCGGCUCCAGACUGACGCUGAGGCACGAAAGCGUGGGUAUCGAACAGGAUUAGAUACCCGAGUAGUC
rnacentral:rRNA from 1 species